GAGAACCGGCAGCUGACAGCUGAGAGCAAUCUUCAGAUGAGACCACAGUCCUGGCUAACCUUGACUGCUACCUCAUGAGAAAUCCCAAGCCGGAGCACCCAAGACUUAAGAAGGUAAAACAGUUGAAAUGCUGAAAACAAAGGAAACACUUGUCCUAAAGUGGGAAGGAGUAUCUGUAGAAGCAGUUGACUCACUUGGAGAGUUUGUCUUUAAGACAGCAGUGAGAAUGGCCCUAAGAAUAAGAUCCUGGGUCUUCAUCAGUCUUUACCAAUGGUCAUGAUCUCAUGGUCAUGAGGUUAAGCCCCAGGUCGGGAUAUGCACUGGGCAUGGAGCCUGUUUGAGAUUCCUCUCUCUCUCUCUCUCUCCCUUUGCCCCUUCCCCAGCUCUCAUGCUCUCUCUCUAUCAAAAAAGAAAAGAAAAAGAAAAGAAAAGAAAAGAAAAGAAAAGAAAAGAAAAGAAAAGGAAAGAAAAGAAAAGAAAAGAAAGAACAAAAGUGGAGGGAUAAACAAGCAAAGCAAUUUUCCGAGAUCACACAGCUAUUAAUGGACAGAGGCACACUUCAAAGAAAUAUGGCCAAAGAGGGAGUCAUCACUGUGGAACUUGAAGAAAAGGAAUCUGGACGCUAAAGUAGGCUAAAAAGACUUUUCAUCCACAGCUACAACACCUGAGUCCAGGAGAGAUUUCUCAGGUACUGGACAAGAGAGUCACAAAGGAGAGAAGCUGCCAGCCUCCACCAACACUUGAAAGAGAAGUGGAGAAGCCCAGGUC